rnacentral:rRNA from 1 species
CAGUAGCCGCGGGAAUACGGAGGGGGCUAGCGUUGUUCGGAAUUACUGGGCGUAAAGCGUGCGCAGGCGGUUGUGUAUGACAGGUGUGAAAUCCCCGGGCUUAACCUGGGAACUGCGCUUGUGACUGCACAGCUAGAGUAUGGCAGAGGGGGGUGGAAUUCCACGUGUAGCAGUGAAAUGCGUGGAGAUGUGGAGGAACACCGAUGGCGAAGGCAGCCCCCUGGGCCAAUACUGACGCUCAUGCACGAAAGCGUGGGGAGCAAACAGGAUUAGAUACCCCUGUAGUCCCUGUCUCUUAUAC